AAGACAUAUUAGGUUGGUGCAAAGUUAAUUGUGGUUUUGACCAAUACUUUUGAUGGCAAAAACUGCAAUUACUUUUGUACUAACCUACUUUU
rnacentral:miRNA from 1 species